GUUUUAUGAUGAUUCCCAUGCGUGUCAACUGAUCCCAGAAUCCCCUGCUUCUCUGUGUCUCUGCUAGUGUUUUGCUAGCGGAUGUGCAUGGGGUUGCAGGGCUCUGGGGCCAUGAUCAGAGUUCACAAAGGCUGAAAAC